rnacentral:rRNA from 1 species
GACGAACGCUGGCGGCGUGCUUAACACAUGCAAGUCGAACGGUGAUGCUCCAGCUUGCUGGAGUGGAUCAGUGGCGAACGGGUGAGUAACACGUGAGCAACCUGCCCCAGACUCUGGAAUAAGCGCUUGAAACGGCGUCUAAUACUGGAUACGAAACUGGCCCGCAUGGGCAUGGUUUGGAAAGUUUUUCGGUUUGGGAUGGGCUCGCGGCCUAUCAGCUUGUUGGUGAGGUAAUGGCUCACCAAGGCGACGACGGGUAGCCGGCCUGAGAGGGCGACCGGCCACACUGGGACUGAGAAACGGCCCAGACUCCUACGGGAGGCAGCAGUGGGGAAUAUUGCAAAAUGGGCGAAAGCCUGAUGCAGCGACGCCGCGUGAGGGAUGACGGCCUUCGGGUUGUAAACCUCUUUCAGCAGGGAAGAAGCGAAAGUGACGGUACCUGCAGAAGAAGCACCGGCUAACUACGUG